AAAGGAAAACAAUGAGAAGCAGCAAGUUACAAUCUCCUUCUCCUAGCUAGGACAAGCAAGGGGUUAACCAGUCUCGGUUUACUAAGUAUCUCUGUCAGGCUUUUAUCUGAUCCUUCCUCCCUUCCUCCCCUGCUCCCCUCUUCUGUAAAUGUCAACCACUUCCUGAGGAGCCUGGUAGUGGUGAAUUUCACACCUUUCUUUUCUUUGUGAAGAAACCUGGGUGUUAAUGGUACAGGAUUGGGUACCAUUGUAUGUCUCUGGCUGUCUGUUAGUAAAGCUUAGGGAUGCCUGUGGAAAAAAAGUAGGAGAAGGUGAAGAAAUUUGAGAAAUGAAAUACUAGGAAAUAGGUUUAAAUCAGGUCUUUAUUUUUAAAGUGAGUGUGUGUUUUGUUAGCAAUUUUUAAAUGUACAUUGUAAAAAUAGUAAUUUUAAAAAAGCUUAACAUUGAGAGUAUAAAGGAGUCUAGCAAAGGAAGGGGCUGACUGUUAAAAAAAAUUAAGGCACAAUCAGAAAGAAAAGCUGGAGAAUUCUCUGACCUUUUGCUCUACAGGUGUAUUUACAGGAGACAGCAAUGGAAACCUGGUCAGUUGAGCAGGUCUGCAGUUGGUUGGUGGAGAAAAAUUUAGGAGAGCUAGUUCAUAGAUUUCAAGAGGAAGAAGUAAGUGGGGCCGCUCUUCUUGCACUUAAUGAUCGGAUGGUUCAGCAACUGGUAAAGAAAAUUGGGCACCAGGCUGUUCUGAUGAAUUUAAUUAAAAAAUACAAGCAGAACACUCAAGGACUGAAGUCCCCAGAAAACCCCAAAGAGGCAGCCCUGGUCAUGCAAACAGAAGCAGCUCGAGAUUACAGGGAUGAAGAAUCCUCCAGUCCAGCCAACCAUGGGGAGCAGAUGCCAUCUUUCUAUCCAGCUGAAAACCUUGAUAAUGGACUAAUUGACCAAAGAGUAUUGAAACAGAGAAGAAAUGUGAAACAUAUUCUAGCAAGAAGCAAAGCAUUACAAUGGACGAAGUCCUAUGUUUUACCAGAGUUUCCCUAUGAUGUCAAGUGCAUGUUAGCAGAGCAGAAGUGCCCAGAUCACAGCAUGAGGAUAAGGAUCAUUGAGUUUCUCCAGGCUGACAUGACUAAGUAUCUGGAAGGCUCACUGUACCCCAGCACCCAGCAGUACAAUGACGUAGUUAAUGCCCUGCUGCAGGCCCACCCUUUCCUGGAUGAGGACGGCUGUGGCUUUUGUCACAAGAUUGCUGUGAGGAUAAAAGGAAGGAUAGAUAUAUUAUUUCUAUUACUAUGAUAUGAAAAUAAUUUCAAGCCCAAAGAUGAUAGUUUUUAUGGAAACGAGCCCUAAAAGAUCGCUUUAAAUAUGUUCGAAGACCCAUAGAAGAUGAUGAGCAAGUAAUUAGAAAUAAGUGUAAAUUUGGACACCGAAGA
rnacentral:sRNA from 1 species